UCCCAGUGUGACCAGGAUAGGGAGAUGGGU
rnacentral:sRNA from 1 species